UACGGAGGGUGCAAACGUUGCUCGGAAUCAUUGGGCGUAAAGCGCGCGCAGGCGGCUUCGCGCGCCCGACGUGAAAGCCCCCGGCUUAACCGGGGAGGGUCGUUGGGGACGGCGGGGCUUGAGGGCGGGAGAGGGUGGUGGAAUUCCCGGUGUAGUGGUGAAAUGCGUAGAGAUCGGGAGGAACACCCGUGGCGAAGGCGGCCACCUGGGCCGACCCUGACGCUGAGGCGCGAAGGCGUGGGGAGCGAACGGG
rnacentral:rRNA from 1 species